rnacentral:rRNA from 1 species
UGAGGAAUAUUGGUCAAUGGGUGCAAGCCUGAACCAGCCAUCCCGCGUGAAGGACGACUGCCCUAUGGGUUGUAAACUUCUUUUGUAUAGGGAUAAACCUACCCUCGUGAGGGUAGCUGAAGGUACUAUACGAAUAAGCACCGGCUAACUCCGUGCCAGCAGCCGCGGUAAUACGGAGGGUGCAAGCGUUAUCCGGAUUUAUUGGGUUUAAAGGGUCCGUAGGCGGACUUAUAAGUCAGUGGUGAAAGCCUGUCGCUUAACGAUAGAACUGCCAUUGAUACUGUAAGUAUUGAGUAUAUUUGAGGUAGCUGGAAUAAGUAGUGUAGCGGUGAAAUGCAUAGAUAUUACUUAGGACACCAAUUGCGAAGGCAGGUUACCAAGAUAUAACUGACGCUGAGGGACGAAAGCGUGGGGAGCGAACA